rnacentral:lncRNA from 1 species
GUAGAUAUGGCCAUACAUAAAAUAAUAAGUCGUGGUGGCCUAGUGGGUAAAGGACCAACCUCUCAAGUAUGAGGGCGCGGGUUCGAUCCCAGGUCAGGCAAGUACCAAUGCAACUUUUCUAAGUUUGUAUGUACUUUCUAAGUAUAUCUUAGACACCAUGGACUGUGUUUCGGAUGGCACGUUAAACUGUAGGUCCCGGCUGUCAUUGAACAUCCUUGGCAGUCGUUACGGGUAGUCAGAAGCCAGUAAGUCUGACACCAGUCUAACCAAGGGGUAUCGGGUUGCCCAGGUAACUGGGUUGAGGAGGUCAGAUAGGCAGUCGCUUCUUGUAAAGCACUGGUACUCAGCUGAAUCCGGUUAGACUGGAAGCCGACCCCAACAUGAUUGGGAAAAGGCUCGGAGGAAGGAUCGUAUCCGAUAAGAUAUGGAAGUAGACCUCUUAUCGUACAGGUACACGUGUUUAUAAAAAUGUUUUAUUCCUUUAUUUUUAUGUUUUUGAUACAUUUUACCUAUUAGAAAACGAGAGAUUUGUGAAAGAUAGGUCUCGUAUUCAUGGAAGAAGAACAUUAGACAGUUGCAGGCAUGACAUGGGCAUUGUGUAUUAUUUACUUAAGGGUGGAGCCCGCGAGCAUCCCGCAUAAUAUUUGCUUCACAUCGUGUCACACCUAGAUAAUCAGUAACUUGGUAACGUUAUUUUAUACGAUGUCAUUGUUUUGUGUAUCUUGGUUUAUUUUCCAUUGACUGUUUCCGAGGUUUCACGAGAGCCACGAAGUACUUCCUGUACCUGCAUAAAAUAUGGUCUAUGUUGCUCUGGGAUAACGAUGUUUCUUAUCAGUGAAAUAAUUUUUCAAAUCGGUUUAGUAGUUUCGAACCCUUUGGGGUUCCAACAAUCAAAAGAUAUGUUUCCUCUUUAUUAUAUUUGUAUAGAUUAUAGUACCUAGGAUAAGUUCUCUGAUAAGGACGCAAGUUUAGACUCUCGAAACGCACGAGUCUAGGACCUAAGUAAUAUAGUACUUACCUAUACAUAUACUUAAGUAUCUAAUUUUCAACAGCUUUAUUAUCACUGUUGCACAAUUUUAAUAACUAUUUUUCAUAAAGUUUAAAACACUAUGUUCGCCUAAGCAGCAGUAUAAUUAAAUAAAUUAUUCGGCAAAAUAUAUAUUGGCCAAAUUCGGCACAGAAAAAAAUGAUUAUCAGUCUCGAGGAUGUCGGCAGCACACACUCGUUACAUCUCUAAUUGUAUACCAAGUUUGUACUUUAAGGCUCACGAUAUUGGAUGAAUCGGUGACGGAUUUUUCGGGUCACUAAUACUUGAAUCUUAUGAAAUUAUGCUCCGAACGGAUCUAGUAAAGGAAUAUUUCAUUUUAUUCAAAUGUAUGUACUAAAAGCUAAGGAACAGUCGGUUUUUCUGAAUCAGUCAAUGUUUUCAAUUUUAGACUGAUUCAAUGAUGUAUAAUCUGUAGCCGUGGUGAUGGCGGCUCUCUGGGAGAGUGGAACGGUCGCGCUCGCAGUGAGAGCGCAUACCGCCGGCGCAGCGGUGCUCACCUUCGGCUGCAGGUUAAUAAGUGGCUUUAUUGCCUUUUUACUGCCAUCUAAAUCAUAGUCAUAAUGACGUGAAAAAAAAAGUGUGGAAAGGCCAAGGGCCAUACCCAAAUAGCCGAAGCGCGAAUAAAGCAGCUGUCAUUAUUGGCUAUCCAUACACGAACCACUAGCUACGAACUCUUACGCCGUGUACAAUGUCAUCAUUUGCCUAGUCCUUAUCUCCACUACAAUCCUUCAGCACUGCUCCAUAUAGUUAGCGUUGUCCGUAUUGUCACGUGACUAGUCGACCGUGAUGUUCGUAUACAGAUCCUUGUUCACGAUACAGUUGACAGUCCAACAAAGAAGAAUUUGUCUACAUGUAAUCAUGUGAAUUGUGCUGUCAAGCAGACGAUGCUGAUCACUCACCGGUGAACUGCUUGCUACUGCUGUUUUGUUAUUCUGCCCCUGACUUCUAGAGCCUUUCUUAUUUCAUUUUUUUAAGAUUAUAGAAGUUAAAAGUAAAAGCGCCUCCGAUCUUAUGGCCCGAUUACACAAGUCUAAACACGUUUGACAGUAUUGGCCAUUAUGGCUAGAAGCAUCACCUGUCCUAACAGUAAUAUUGCAGUACCUACAUAUAAUAUUACGUGGAUUUAGUUGCCUUUGAAGUGGUCUCGUGGACAAUGGCGAUAUGUAAAGUAACGGCGUGUUGCGGGCGGCGCGGGCGGCGCGGCGCGCCACUUCCGAGUGUUCUCGCUCUACAUACGACGGCGCGGCUUCCUGCGCUCGUUUCACUUGCUCUUAUGCCUUUUGUUAUGGUGUAACAACGUUUCGACAACUCUUGCACAAAACUUAUUUACCUAUAUGAAUAAAAUCUAUUUAGGCUAAUUUGCUUUGUUAACGGCGCGGCGCGGCGCGGCGCGGCGUGAUUUUCUAUACAUAUAUAGUGAUUUUCUAUAUGAUUUAUUGGUGAUCUCUUUAAAUUAGUUUACUUAAAUACUAUUAGGACAAACCUAUUAUAAUACAUACAAAACCAUUUAUUUGGUACUUGACCCCAUAUCUCCAUGAUUUUCGGUAAUUUAUUGUGGAAUUGAUUUUAUAUUGUUUGGUGCUACAUUUUGGUGACAAAUCUACUAUUUUGAGGGCAAACCAUAUUAUUUAAGAAACACAAUAUGAAUUAAAUUGGUGACAGCUUAAAUCAUACCCAUAAACAUUAACGAAGGGAAACGGGAGAAGAGACUUACAAAUGAAUCAUCAAGAUUUCUCGCAGCUAAGUACUGUGGCGCAACACGAUAAUAUAUCAGUUGACGUAAUAACUACGUUUGAUUUAAUUAUACAAUUAUUUUGAAUUUAAGCCCAUAGAGUACCUACUUAUAGGAGCAACUUCUCAAGUCAAGGUCAGGCAAGUACCAAUAUAUGUUUUCUAAGUUAGUACCUAUGUAGCUUCAUAAGUAACUUGGUCACCACAUCACGAGGAUGUGUACUGAAUGUCUGAAAUCACCAACCCGCAUUGAUCUGGUAGUGUCUGUUAAAUGAGCAUAGCUUGCAUGGUGUAUUGAGAGGCGGUGUGCGGCACGUCUAUGCUCCAUUCGUUUAGGUAGGUAGUUAAAAGAAGAUCAACAAUAUUGAUUUAGUUUUUAACACAUUUUUUUUUGAGGACAGCAAUAUUUUCUGGUACCUACCUCAUAUCAAAGUAAAGGAUAUACAUAUUCCUUUUUCCGCAUUAAACUCAGGUGUAGCCGCACUUCUGGUUUUAGCUGUAUAAACAGACGGCCAAAAAUAGGAAUAUGAAAUUCUAUGUAGCGUUUUUUAUCGCAGACGCGUUGAGCGCAGACCUUGGUCAAAAGAACUAUGCGCGAAGUUGUCAGCGCCGAUGCUCAAUGUGUACUAAGGGUGCUUUCAACUUACUUAUGCGUUUCUUGGCGGCCUGCUGCGGUGCGUUAAGGUCAAUAUACACCAAACGAACAUAGAGCUAGAGCCAGAGCAGGAGCAUUCUUUCGUAAUCUUUUAGUGUAAACGAAAGCCUUUCGAAUGUUCUUUGGUCAUUUAAGUCAAUUUUCUGGUUGGUAUUGGUAGUGCUUCGAUAUGUCUGAGUCUGACAGUGAUGUCAUUAUUGCAAGCGCUGCAUUUAUUAUAUUGCAGAAAAAACUCAAAAAUAAAAGAAGGAAGAGACGGAAAACAAAUACGAAUUUUAGAGACUCGAUUCCUGCAUAAUAGCAGUGACUUUGAGAUUUUUGUAUUUUUAUAGUUUUCAUAUGUUGGGUCCCAUAGACAUCUAUAAUUUUGGUAGGCUUCUAUUUAUAUUUAAUUUUUCCUGAGACCAAUCCAUAUUUUAAUCGAUACGACAUGUCAACAAUCGCUAGAACACAAGAAUUUUUAGAAAUGAAGACGUACCUAUAGCGUACGGACGAUCCUCUUUAUUCAUACAAAAAGCACGGUAUGGCAACAGUGCGGCACCGAUACGACGAACGCUCGACAACAGGACGACAAAGUCGCAAGCAUCACGUGUUCGUUUCGGUGUUCUUGAAUGACGUCACGUCACUUGGAUAAAAACGCACGGCAGUAAAAUACGCUUUCAAUUUAGGCGUUUGGUGCCAAACUGCUAAUGCACUGCAAGCGGUCCGGCAACGGGACUUAACCUGCGGCACGUUAAGCGUGCGGCAGCGGUCCGACACGAAACGCAUAAGUUGAAAGUACCCUAAAACUCGCUUUAGGUGCUUGUACACUAGGGUGGAGCGAUUUUAUUUUUUUUGAAUUUUUGCUUCGGCAUACCUGUAUAAAGUUGCUAUUUUAGGUCAUUACUAAAUACGAGAAAGCUCAGUUUGUUUACGUCAAGUUUAGAGGUGCCCCCAUCAUCGUAAAGUUUUGAAAAUUUGCGCAAAUUCCAUAAAAUCGCAAACAUUGUAUAAACUCGGAAUUAUAUUCUUAGCGAUGCUUUAUUAGUGUAAACUAAACAAGAUUGAACUGGAAACGUGUUUGUUCUGAUCGGUAGGUUCCCUCUCAUCAAAGAAAUGGCAUUAGCCAACUCGCGCGCGUACACGAGCUCACUUGUUUGUCGUGCACUUAGGUACUUGACACAUCGAAUCUGACGGCUGGGAACAAAUACAUAUAUUAAAUAUGUUGCAAGUUAAAACACGACAAAUGUCAAGCUGUCCUGCCUCUGGUUUGCCAGAAAAGUUGCCUGUUUCCCAGUUACCAACUUACAACGACAUUAUGAAAUAUGAUUUAUUUAUCAAAAAUGAAUUGAAGCCUGAUAUAGCAACAAAAGAGCCAACAGUUCAUGAAAUAUCUGAAAGGCUGGCUCAAGAAGUUUUAUAAAUAUGGCAAAAAUCGUCGCUGCCAACUGUAAGUUUCAAAAGAAUCCUACAAUUGAUUCGCGUUUAUCAUGACAAAUACAGAUGCUUAAUGAAACCAUAUCGAGGCCGUCAAACGGACAUUAAAUACCAAGAAAAAAAUAAUAAAUUCAUAUCAGACUCUCAUAGUUUCUUUGAUAUUUGUAGCUGCAAAUGCAAAGUUAUAUCGGAUUGUAACUGUCCUAAAGAAUGUCGCAUUCCCAAGGAGGAAGUUGUUUUUUUAUUGGAUCAAAGAACGACUAGAAAAAUGAUGAUAGGCGGUGUCGAUGUGGCUACAGCGGCAAAAAUAAAAAAAAAAACAAGAAAGAAAAGAAAAAGCUUUAUAUCGCAGUAGAGAGGUAAACUAUUUUGAUAAACCUUGUUGUUCUCGUUCAUUGACUGAUGAUUUGGUAACAGAAAGCAGCAGCUCAUGCGAUAGUUUGCUUGUGCCAUCUACUAGUCCUCAGUAUAAAAACCCAGAACAGGUAAAACAUAAAGCUUCACCACCUAAUAAAAAAAAAACGAUUGAAUUUAACCUCAUUAGCUCUUGCAUGCGAUCGUACUGGAGUUUCGCAUAGAGCCGCUGCUAUUAUAGCUUCUUCUGUCUUGAAAGAUGUUGGCAUUAUUGAAACCUUGAAAAAUGUGGUCAAGAACGGUCUCAGCAUGUGUCAGAUUAUUGAUUUUCCAUGUCACACUCAAGCAGUAGAGCGCUGCAUCAAGUUGGUGACAGAAGCAUCAAAUGCAGUUUGUGGAGAUAAUAAAAGAGACGGUUUCAUUAGAGCGAGACUGCUUUCGCGUAAACGAAUGCCUACUUUUAAUACGAAAAAACAGUUUGAUAUUUAAGUUUGCUUUUUUAAUGUUUAAUUUUUGCAAUAAAUAGAAAAAUUGGAUUUUUUUAUAUUUUUUAUUUUCAUCUCCUCUGGGGCACCUCAAAAUAUUGCGACUGGUAAGUCAAAUUUUGUACACUUGUUUUGAAUAUUAUAAGACAACUUUUCAUCCCUAUUCCGUUGAGAAAAAACGAUUUUUUUUUUGCUCCAUACAUUUUCGCUCCACCCUAUUGUACACACAAAACUGCGAUGCGAAAUCCAUAA